UACAGAGGGUGCGAGCGUUAAUCGGAAUUACUGGGCGUAAAGCGUGCGUAGCCGGUUUCGUAAGUCGGGUGUGAAAGCCCCGGGCUCAACCUGGGAAUUGCAUUCGAGACUGCGUAGCUAGGGUGCGGAAGAGGGAAGCGGAAUUUCCGGUGUAGCGGUGAAAUGCGUAGAUAUCGGAAGGAACAUCAGUGGCGAAAGCGGCUUCCUGGUCCAGCACCGACGUUCAGGCACGAAAGCGUGGGGAGCAAACAGG
rnacentral:rRNA from 1 species